rnacentral:lncRNA from 1 species
CAUUCACCCACAUGGUCCUUCGAGGUGCCGCCGCCGCCGCCCGACCUGCGCCUUCGCGCCACUUCGCGCCCUCGGGCGAGGCCGAGGGGGUGGGGACGACUACCGCAGCGCCGCCGGGGCUCGCGCUCCUCCGCGAAGCUCUCCUCGCGGGGCGGGCCGGCCGGCCGCACCCCCGGCCUGGGGCCUCCGGUCGUAGUAAAGCGCAGGCGGGCGGGGAGGCGGGAGCAGGAGCCCGCGGCCGGCCAGCCGAAGAUGGUGGCGGCUACUCCUCCUGUCAUACACGUGGACCUAACUGCACCAGUAGCUUUUCUGAGAAUACUUGCUGAAAAGGAAGUUUUCUGGAAUGGUAUUUGCUAAGUGGAAGCCAGAAGAGGAGGAAAAUGUUUUGCCACGUGGAUGUGAAGAUUUCCUCUAAAAGUGACAAACGUGGCUUUCAAACUAUGCUUAAAAAGUUCCGGCUGGACACGGUGGCUCACACCUAUAAUCCUAGCACUUGGGGAGGCUGAGGCAGACGGAUUACCUGAGGUCAGGAGUUCGAGACCAACCUGGCCGACAUGGUGAAACGCUGUCUCUACUAAAAAUAUAAAAAAUUAGCCGGGUGCAGUGGCGUGCACCUGUAAUCCCAGCUACUCUGGAGGCUGAGGCAGGAGAAUCACCUGAACCUGGGAGGUGGAGGUUUCAGUGAGCUGAGAUCCUGCCACUGCACUCCAGCCUGGGCGCAAGACCAAGACUUAAACGCAAAAAAAAAAAAAAAAAAAAAAAAAAAGUUUCAUAAUACAGCAUGGUCUGGUAGUUUGCAAAAUGGUGUGCUUUUGGGGAGAUACACUAGCAAUUUUUUUAAAAACUGGAACAGUGUGAUAGGAAGCCUGCUGGAUGAUUUCUUAAAUAUUCUAAAAUGUAAGUCAAAUAUGUUUUAAUAACAAAGACUUAAAUGGCUUUUCUCCCUAGAGACUGAAACUAGUAUUCAUUGUGUUCAGAACUUAAUUGGGCUUGAACUGAGAUUUAAAUCUAAUAAACAAGUUAAUAAAUGUG